rnacentral:rRNA from 1 species
GCAGUCGAGCGGCAGCCAGAGAAACUUGUUUCUCGGGUGGCGAGCGGCGGAUUGGUGAGUAAUGCCUGGGAAAUUGCCCUGAUGUGGGGGAUAACCAUUGGAAACGAUGGCUAAUACCGCAUAAUAGCUUCGGCUCAGAGAGGGGGACCUUCGGGCCUCUCGCGUCAGGAUAUGCCCAGGUGGGAUUAGCUAGUUGGUGAGGUAAUGGCUCACCAAGGCGACGAUCCCUAGCUGGUCUGAGAGGAUGAUCAGCCACACUGGAACUGAGACACGGUCCAGACUCCUACGGGAGGCAGCAGUGGGGAAUAUUGCACAAUGGGCGCAAGCCUGAUGCAGCCAUGCCGCGUGUGUGAAGAAGGCCUUCGGGUUGUAAAGCACUUUCAGUCGUGAGGAAGGUGGUGUUGUUAAUAGCAGCAUCAUUUGACGUUAGCGACUGAAGAAGCACCGGCUAACUCCGUGCCAGCAGCCGCGGUAAUACGGAGGGUGCGAGCGUUAAUCGGAAUUACUGGGCGUAAAGCGCAUGCAGGUGGUUUGUUUAAGUCAGAUGUGAAAGCCCGGGGCUCAACCUCGCAAUAGCAUUUGAAACUGGCAAGCUAGAGUACUGUAGAGGG